AUGCUUCAUGACAGGCUAGCAUUCCCCUUGACAAGGAUGGAAGAGGCCCCCAGAACAGACAACACACUUAAUUAAAAAGCAGAUACUAAGAACUUGAGAUUCGGACCAGCUCUAGGUGCCUGCAUUUUGU